UACGUAGGGGGCAAGCGUUGUCCGGAAUCAUUGGGCGUAAAGAGCGCGUAGGCGGCCCUGUAAGUCCGCUGUGAAAGUCAAGGGCUCAACCCUUGGAUGCCGGUGGAUACUGCAGGGCUAGAGUCCGGAAGAGGCGAGUGGAAUUCCUGGUGUAGCGGUGAAAUGCGCAGAUAUCAGGAGGAACACCGAUGGCGAAGGCAGGUCUCUGGGCCACUACUGACGCUGAGAAGCGAAAGCAUGGGGAGCGAACAGG
rnacentral:rRNA from 1 species